GAUGAACGCUGGCGGCGUGCCUAAUACAUGCAAGUCGAGCGGACGGACGAGGAGCUUGCUUCUCUGAUGUUAGCGGCGGGCGGGUGAGUCACACGUGGAUCACCUCCCUAUAAUACUGGGAUAACUUCGGGAAACCGGCGCUAAUCCCGGAUGAUCUCUUGAACCGCGUGGGUCAAUAGUGAGAGUCGGUGUUGCUGUCACGUAUAGAUGGAUCCGCGCUGCAUUAGCUAGUUGGUAGGGUAACGGCUUACCAAGGCAACGAUGCGUAAACGAGGUGAGAGGGGGAUAGGCCACACUGGAGCGGAGCCACGGACCAGGGGCCUACGGGAGGGAGCAGUAGGGAACCGGCCGCAACGGGCGGAAGCAUGACGGAGCAACGCGGAGUGAGUGACGACGGCCCUCGGAUCGGAAAACUCUGUUAUGAGGGAUGAACAUAUGUGGAAGUAAACGAGCACUUCUUGACGGUACUGAAUAAGAAAGCAACGGCUAACUACGUG
rnacentral:rRNA from 1 species